rnacentral:lncRNA from 1 species
CAAAAACAUGGUGUAAAAGUUAAAUAUGUUCAUACAUAUUUUAAAUCAGAUAACGAAAAUAUAAAAUUACUUUUACAAUGACACGUGGGCCGCCAACUAACCAAUAAGAUGCAAGUUUGUGAACCUAUAAUUUUGACAAUGCAAGGCUAACUAAAGUCCUUGAUGCAAUCGGCUAUCUACCGGCUAUCCCGAACCUGAAAUGUGUGGAAUUGAGGGUGGUGAGAUUAUAAAAUCCCAGUAAGUAAACAAACACCAUCUAAACUAUCUAAAGGCAAGUAAAUGGAGAAAACAAAAAAAUAAUUAACUUCAGUAAAUUUUUCACAUCACGAAUAUUCAUUUCAACCAAAUAAUCAAUAUGGCUCGUGAAUUACUCAAAACUUGGCUCAUGCCAAAUCCUGUACUCGGUGACACUUGGACCAGGGGUAUCCAAUCGAGUCCGCCAAGGCUGUUAAAAAUUCAUAUUUUGCAUAAAUCAUAUUUUUAUUUUGAAACAUAGCCGUUCCUUGGCGUUGGCUGAGUCUCACUCUCACGCGGUGGUCAACGUGAAGUGCACUCAAAAAGCCCACCUCAGGAGAUACCCUACGUGCCUCUACGACCGAGGUGAGAAUAUAAAGGAGUUUACCAUGCCCCUCUAAUAGGCUGGCCCACGGAACCCCCCAUUACUGCAGUAGCUAAUCUUUUAUCUACCACCUGAUUUAUAAAAUCUUUUUCUGCAUGACAUGGCAAUUUAUCGCAACCUAACCUCUCAAGGCUAAAUACACAGUACAAAUAAUUCUAAUACCAAAAUCAGUUUAACCAUUCAUGCUCAUUUAUUGUCAUAAGCCAUUCAAUUUAAAACCAUAAAUUUACAAUACAAAUAGGCAGUCUCCAAUUACUCUAUUUUCAAAACCAGUAUUCGAUUUUCCAGAAAAUUUAUAAAAUCAUUUUAUAAAAUCACAAUUUCUCUUAAAACAUAGCAAUUUACCAUUUAAACCCAUUUAAACCCAUUUUCCAUACAAUCACACAAUUGUAUAAAACUACUCUAGAUAAUUAAGACGAUAAUAAAUUUACUCACAGUUUCUGAAAAUCAAAUUCGGGUACUCCAACUAUUACUCCUCGGGUGCGAUUUCUUUGCCCUUGCCAGAGGAUUCGCCACCUUGACAAAUUGUACAAUUAAGAGGUUUAC